CAACACUAGUGGUGGAUGAGGAGAUUCGCCCCAUUGUGCACUUGGAGUGUCUAGAACAGCGCUAUAUAAAUGUUUUUUUGCUGCUUGCUGUGGUGGAGGAGACAAAAGACUUCCAGGAUAAGCUAAAAUAAUGGCUGAUCUGCUCAUCACGUGUCAUUUCAGAUGCUAAACCGUGGAUCUUCUAAACCCAUUUUCUUCCCAUCAGCUUUAAAUUGCAGCUUUACUAAAUCAGCUGAAGCGUUUAUCCAUCUGUAUCCUGAUGAUGUCAAUUGUUGCUUUUCAACAUCUCUGUCUGUUCAGCACAUUGAUGAUUUUUGUACUUUAAUCUUGACUUAAAG